rnacentral:lncRNA from 1 species
UAAUUACCUAUCAAUAAAUUUAGCAUUCUUUUAAUACAUCAAUCUAUGACAAUAGAUUACUAGAUACUAGAUAAUUCUCAUCAUAAGGUUUUGAAAAUUAGCAAAACAUUUCCCGCAAAAAGAGUUUCAUGGAAGCAGCCAUUUAAAAAUCAGCAGGAAAAGGGCUUCUACUGCCUCUAGUGGGUAGAAGAUGAACUACAGGGCAGAAAUCAAGAAACAAUUACAUCCAGUGGGUUUUUUAAGGAAAGGUUGGAUCAUGCUAAUGAGGUAGAGGUCUCAAAAAUGUAUCAAAUAGUAUUUGAUGGUAUUACCUUCAUAAUAAUUACUUAAUGCAAAGCUGAUAAACGGGACUAGAAAAGACGACACUGAGCGGACAUUGGGGAUUUUUUUUCUCUCUCUCAUUUUUAAAGUCUUAAAAAUAUUUCACUAACUUCUAUAUUACUUCACAAAACUCAUUCAGGGGUAAAUGUUUGGAGACCAAGAAAUUUAGAGAAAUAAUGAAAAAGAGAGAAAACGUCAUACAGCAUGAAAAACAAAGGACAAAAACGAAGACAGGGUUGGAGUUUAACCAGUAACAUGUAAUCAGUCCAUUAUACUAAACAAAGAGAAUUACAACAUUUAUUUCUUGGAAAAACAAAAACUGGUAGUCUUGAACUUUUCAGAGUUCAUGCAUUUAUACACGUUUUGGGUUUAGAGAGGUCUCCACUGUGGGACUGGAUGGGUCUCUGUUUCUGACUGCUGGUGAGUAUAUUUUAAUGUUUCGAGACAACUGCACAUCUGACACACGCUGAACCCAUAACUUCUCACAGGGCAGAUGCUUGGCUGCGGCCCAGCGUUUCUUUGGCAGGCUACCACGGAAACAGCAGCGUUGUGUAAGCGGUGUAAAAACCCAUCAGGCGUUUCCUGCCACUGGGCAUCUACAACGCAACCAAUAGAAUCAGACCAACCUGCAGACCAACAGUCAGAAGAUCUGAUAGAAAAGGAGUGUGGGAGCGGAGAGGUCUGGGAGAUCACGACCUUAAUUCUCCCCAAGACAGAGGGUUUAAUUAAGACUGAAGGAUUCCUCACUGACUCCAGACCUCUACAAUAAAACUUUAAUAGGGACAUGGAUUGCACAGGUGAGGCACUGCUUUACUGUUUGGCAAUAUACACUAAUAAGCUUUUUCAUUACAGUAACACUGUUUCCUUCAUGAUCUCAUUAUAGGUUGUUACAGGUUUAAAACAUGAAACUGAUAUACAAAGAAUUUAGGGGAGUUUUAGAAAGAGAAACACUGCUAUUUUAUUUGACUUUGGUUUUGUUUGAUAAAAAGCAUAAAAUAUUAGAUCACUGUUACAACAGCUUUUAAUAUCUAUACGGACAGGUUUCUUACAGUGACAGAUGACAAGCCAGUUGCAACAGUUCAAAACGGUGCUAAUUCAGUUACAUCUUGGCUGUUUACACUUUAAAGCUGGAUAUGCUGACUGGUUCAUUCAUAAACCUGCCGAGCAACUCUGGAGAACUCUGGAAAAAAGAAGACGGAGUCAUCAAAGUGGGAGAGAAGCCCACGCUGCCAAACCAGAUGCACAGAGGCUUUCUCGCUGUCUGUUCUGUGCUCACUGACAUAUCCGAGCUAGAACUGAGUAUAACCCUUUUGCUAUCCUGUGUCUUGGAGGCACAUCAACAUUGGGAGUUGGGUCAUCUGGACCCCACAUGAUAGUGCGCUGAACCUUUUUUCUUCAAUUAUUUGUGAUCUGUACUGGUGUCCAUGGAUUACAUGAAAUCCUCUCCACCUUUAGCCACCUUUGUUAUGGUAGGGAGAACACGUCAAUGUUAGGAUCGGGUCAUCUGGACCCCACAAGAUAGCAGAAGGGAUAAAGGAACACCAAAAAGCCUUACUUAAAACAAAAAAAAAAGAACAACAGCACGCCUUAUUUUAUAACUGGAUGAAUUAAGGUUAUGUUGAAGCAAUUUUGAAAGGCACACGGCAAUGCGUGGAAAUGUCUGUUUCUUGUGUGAUACAAGCAAGGUUGGGUAUUAGCAUGAGUACGUUAACGCUAACAGUGCCAGACUGUUUUUUUUUUUUACAUUGUCUUCAGUCUAGUCAAAGUGAAUUUUAUUUUAGCUGAAUCGGUCUGUUUUUUUUACAUGUUGCUUUAACAUGUUGUUUUAGAGUCACAGGAGUUGUAAAUAUACGCUGUCACGGCUAACGUGUAACGGUUCCAGACUGGUUUUCUUUUUACAUGUUACCAACAAGGUUGGGAGUUUGUGUCGUCACAGCAACGUGUUGUUUAGCUGUAUUGGUCUGUUUUUUUCACUUGUUGCAAACAAGAUUAU